rnacentral:lncRNA from 1 species
CAAAAUGGACCGUAGCCAUGAAAUCCCUGACAGAACUUGUCAAAAGCAUCUUCUAGUGAAAGGUGUUUCUCAUUCUCCUUUGGGAUAUUGACACUGAAUUUCCAAUAGGAAAUGAACAUGUCCAGAGGAUUCCGACAUACAUACACAAUCUUGGUAGCAGAAUCUUUGACCGAACACGGGAGUGCCGAGUAAGGCGAGUGGGUUCCGAAGAUCCUAGGAUCGGGAAGCUUGUCUUGUUCCAGAAACUGGUUUCUGGAGCUGAUAUCAAACUCAAGAAAGGGCACGACCCCAUGAGGGCCAUUGGUGAGCAAAGGGCUCUUUUCAAGUGAGUGACGGGAGCGAUUAACUAUAGUAUAAGUCAAGGCCUUUAACCAAGUGGUACCAGAUUUUGGAAUGCUGGCAAGUAUGAGGUCAGUUUCUUGUGCCUUGAAGUGUUGUUGAAACAGCAUCAUGCCCUUGAUUGAUACCUGUGGACACCAGAAUCCUUGGUAUAGAUAGAGAAGAUUACCUCCCAUACCUAUUUCUGUCGGGAGGUGUUGAAGCAACUCCUGGGAUUCAUCUCUCUGCUCUUCCUCUACAUUGAUUCCCACACCCUCCAUCAAACUGAGAAUCACACUGACAAGGAAGAAGAUUAUUCAAGAAAACAAGGAAAUAUGAGGAGUAGAGUUUCUUGAUUCUUGAGAUCACAGCAUGUCUUAUAUAUAUCAUUGAAGGUAUUAUGGUCGGGAUUUGUAAACAGGCUAGAACCUUCGUGGGUGGGUUGGAAGGUGGUUCUGCGACCAUAUAUGCGUGCGCAAGGGUUGAAUUCACUUAGAGUUGAUUUUAGUAUACUCAUUUUGGUAAGAGCACAAAAAGUCGUAGCAUGACUACUACUGUCUCUAUCAACGCGAACAAUGCUUGCCAAGUUGCGCCCUAAACAAAAUUAUUAUCGACAACUUAUUCUAAUCUAUAUAUAAGAGAUCAAAUCUUGAACCUUUUUUUAAUCUAUAUAUAAGAGAUCAAAUCUUGAACCUUUUUGUAAUCUAUAUAUGUAAGCAAAAAUAUAAUUUAUCACAAAAAUACAUUGUUAUAGAAUUUAAUCUCGGCCCAGCAAGUUAAUCCAAUAAUUUGCUGAUUCAAAACUUACCUAAAUUGAGUUUUAUAUAGAACUAGAUUAAGAGUUAAUCAUGUCAAUCAAUCAUGAAUCGUCUUGGACUCACCCGCUGUAGCAUCCGGGUUUGAUAACCAUGCAAGAAUAUAUGAAAGUUAUUUACCAUAUCAAGAUCCUGAGAAGGUGGCUGCAUCUUCUCUCUCGUUUCCCAGCUGCUGUUAGUCCUAUCCAAAUUUCUAGUAGGAAGCUCUCUGUCUAGCUAUUAGUAAUUAUUAAAAAAAAGAACAUCAAUGGCAGCGUGAAGUUCCCUCUGCUGUUCCUAUCCGUUAUUUCUUGAAUCUUAAGGGGGCUCCAGAGCGCAACUUGAAGGACAGGACAGGGAAUGGGCAAUCUUGGCUAGACUAAGAACCCGAACCACGCCUAUUUAGGUAUUUAUUAACAAGGUCCUUUGCUCGGUCGGAGAUAGCAUCUCCGGCCAGGGACUUGUUCCAGUUAGAUAUAAUCAGUGUAUCACCUCCUUAAAAGAAAAAAAAUCACUUUGCUAGCUUAUCGAUCGAGGGGCAUUUUAAUUACAAUGGCUAAAUUAUUCCUGAAAACAAAAUCUCUUUAUUCUAUCAUUGUUUUUGGUUAUAAUGGCUAUAAUCGAGGGGCAUUUUAGUAGUUUAACAAGUAUAAAUACAAUUAAAACAAAGGUGGCGUGAGGGAAUGUCCUUGCCCUUUGGGCUUCUUUAACAGAUGGCGAUACUUGUGGUGGUUUAGGCGAUGGUCUAUUUCAACAACUUAUUUUUUUUUAUUUUUUUUUUUGUUCUCUUCUCCCUCCAUAAUUGUUUUAUUCAAAAUUUCAAAGUUGUCAUUUUAUUUAUGAAUAUUUCAACUUUAAUUUUUUUUUAGCUUUUUUGUCAAAUCUCAUUAUAUUUUUAAUUUCAUCAUUAAAUUUAUAAUUAUAAUUUUUUUUAAAUCUGAUCUUUAUUGUAAACACCCAAACGAAAAUAUAUAUAUGUCUAUAUAUAUAUAUAUAUAUAUUUAAAGAGAAAGAGAGAGAGAAAGAUGGUGAUGAACGCAGUUUUCGCUGCCGAUGCAGAAAUCGGCAGCGACGCAGUUUUCGCUGCCGAUUCUGGAUUGGGCAGCGACGCAGUUUUCGCUGCCGAUGCAGAAAUCGGCAGCGACGCAGAUUUCGCUGCCGAUGCAGAAAUCGGCAGCGACGCAGAUUUCGCUGCCGAUGCAGAAAUCGGCAGCGACGCAGAUUUCGCUGCCGAUUCUGGUUUUGGCAGCGACGCAGUUUUCGCUGCCGAUUCUGGAUUGGGCAGCGACGCAGUUUUCGCUGCCGAUGCAGAAAUCGGCAGCGACGCAGUUUUCGCUGCCGAUGCAGAAAUCGGCAGCGACGCAGUUUUCGGCUGCCGAAUUCUCAAUCAACAGUGACGCACAGCUGGGAGGGAGGGGUAAAACUGGUUUUAGAUAAACCAAACAAGGAUAAGGACACACCUAAACCCACCCCCAAACAACCCAAUUCAUUUGAUGGGUAGUAUAAAUACAAAGAGGGGAGAGAGAAGGACCCAUCUUCUUCCCAAACCAGCAGCUGCAUGUCAUUCUUCCUUCCCUUUCACAUCAAAAACGUGAAUCAAACUAGUAGAGUGUCUUGUGAGCUUGUGAGGGAGAGAUGAGAACUUGAGAGAGGAGUGGGCAGCUGCAUAGAGGAGAGGAAAAAGAGAGCUGGAAAACGUGAGAGGAAGAAGAAGGAGGAGAACCAGCAGCUGAAGAGAAAAGAAUAGUGUCAAACCUUCCUCAAACUUGGUUAAAAUCAGAAGGUAUGGGUCAUGGAACUCCCUUUCCUCUCCCCCUUAAGAUCAAAAACGAAAAUGAAGAAGAAAAGCCCUAAGAAAAAUUAAUCUAAGACUUAAGCCAACUAUGGGGGAAACUGAAAUUAACUAGAAGAUCUAGCAAACAGAAGUGAAAUAAAGUCAAUUUCAGAACAUCUAACAAUUAUGGUAGAAGCUGGCUUUAACUAUGGGGUAAGCCAGCAUGCAUGUGUGUGUGUUUCUGCUGGAAUGAAUGUGUUUCUGCUGUGAUGUUGGUGCUGAAAUUAAAUGUGUUCUGUUGAGAUGUUGCUGCUGGAAUUAAUGUGUACUGUUGUGAUGAUUGUUGCUGCAAUUAAUGUGUUCUGCUGUGAUGUUCUUGCUGGAAUUUAAUGUGUUUUGCUGUGAUGUUAUUGCUGGAAUUUAAUGUGUUCUGCUGUGAUGUUCUUGCUGGAAUUUAAUGUGUUCUGCUGUGAUGUUAGUGCUGGAAUUUAAUGUGUUCUGCUGUGAUGUUAUUGCUGGAAUUUUGUUGAAGAACUAUGUGCUGAAAUUGAUGGUUCCGAGUUGUGUAUUGCGCAGCGAAAUUCUGUUUCGCUGCCGCAACUGAACCUCCUGCAGCGAAUUGAUAUUCGCUGCCGAUUUGUGUGUUGCGCAGCGAAAUUCUGUUUCGCUGCCGCAACUGAACCUGCUGCAGCGAAUUGAUAUUCGCUGCCGAUUUGUGUGUUGCGCAGCGAAAUUCUGUUUCGCUGCCGCAACUGAACCUGCUGCAGCGAAUUGAUAUUCGCUGCCGAUUUGGUGUUUGCGCAGCGAAAUUCUGUUUCGCUGCCGCAACUGAACCUGCUGCAGCGAAUUGAUAUUCGCUGCCGAUUUGUGUGUUGCGCAGCGAAAUUCUGUUUCGCUGCCGCAACUGAACCUGCUGCAGCGAAUUGAUAUUCGCUGCCGAUUUGUGUGUUGCGCAGCGAAAUUCUGUUUCGCUGCCGCAACUGAACCUGCUGCAGCGAAUUGAUAUUCGCUGCCGAUUUGUGUUGCGCAGCGAAAUUCUGUUUCGCUGCCGCAACUGAACCUCCUGCAGCGAAUUGAUAUUCGCUGCCGAUUUGUGCGUUGCGCAGCGAAAUUCUGUUUCGCUGCCGCAACUGAACCUCUGCAGCGAAUUGAUAUUCGCUGCCGAUUGUGCGUUGCGCAGCGAAAUGUAGCGCCAACAGCGAUGCAGUUUUCGCUGCCAACUGGCUGCCGGCAGCGAAACAGGUGUCGCUGCCGAACUGGCAGCCCGCAGCGAACCAGUUUCGCUGCCGAAUUCCUACAAUAAGCCUCCUAGGCAGGAAUGACUUAAAUGCUAGUAACAAUUUCAUGUUUGAUGAUGUAAAUAGGGACACUUGAAUGUGAACAUAUGAACUCUUGAAAUAAGUGUGAUUGAUGAGUAUGAUUCAAGAAUAAAAUAACAACUGUGCUGAUUUGUGACCAUUGAUGUCUUAGGUGGUGCAGUCGGGAUUGGCCAUCAUCAAGACAGGAUCGACCCACAGUGGAGCAGGUAGGUGACUUGCACCUUCCUUUUUCUUACGUUGAAUCUUGAAAUAUUUUAACUUGAGUACUAUCAUAUUGUUAGAACCGAUAUUAGAUUGUUGAAGCUUGAAUGUUGACAAAAGAUUGAUUAGCUUCGGCUAAUGGCAUCCGAAUGGAUGGCCGGGAAAAGAUUGAUUAGCUUCGGCUAAUGGCAUCCGAAUGGACGGCCGGGACAAAAGAGUGAUUAGCUUCGGCUAAUGGCAUCCGAAGGGAUGGCCGGGACAAAGAAUGAUUAGCUUCGGCUAAUGGCAUCCGAAAGGAUGGCCGGGACAAAGGAGUGAUUAGCUUCGGCUAAUGGCAUCCAAACGGGGCCGGGACAAAGAAUGAUUAGCUUUGGCUAAUGGCGUCCGAAUGGAAUGGCCGGAUGAAGGACUGAUUAGCUUCGGCUAAUGGCAUCCAAACGGAUGGAUGGCCGGGAUAAAAGAGUGACUUCGCUGCCGAUUCUGGAUCGGCAGCGACGCAGAUUUCCGCUGACGAUUCUGGAUCGGCAGCGAAGCAGAUUUCGCUGCCGAAUCUGGAUCGGCAGCGACGCAGAUUUCGUUGCCGAUUCUGGAUCGGCAGCGACGCAGAUUUCGCUGCCGAUUUGGAUCGGCAGCGAGAGCAGAUUUCCGCUGCCGAUUUGGAUCGGCAGCGACGCAGAUUUCGCUGCCGAUACGAAAUCGGCAGCAACGCAGAUUCUGCUGCCGAUACAGAAAUCGGCAGCGACGCAGAUUCCGCUGCCGAUUCUGGAUCGGCAGCAACACAGUUUUCGCUGCCGAUUCCUUGAUCGGCAGCAAUGCAGUUUCUGCUGCCGAUUUUGGAUCGGCAGCGACGCAGCUUUCACCAUGGAUGGCCGACACAAAUGAAUGACUAGUUUUGGCGAAUGGCAUCCGAAAACUUGUGUAUCUAUAUGUACUACUAGUUGUUGUAGCAAAUACAUGAAGAAAUUAUAAUUGUUAAUGUUUUAUUUAAUUGCCAAACCGUGAGUUACUUAUUAUUAUUAAAUAUUUGCAUUCUCUUAAAUGUUUGUACUGCUGCAGGGACUUCACACCAACGAGAUGUCUAGGAAACCCGAUACACGGGAACCUAUUUUGCAAGGAAUUAUGUAGAUGUAUCUUAAAUCACAAUGUAUUUUGUAUGGAUCAAUGUACUGAAUGUAUAACUUUUAUUAGAUCCUUUUUGUUUAAAAUUGUGAUGACUAUUAGUAGGAGAAGACUGUAAACUCAUGUCUAUGUAUAUAUUUUUUAAUAUGAACUUCAAAUCAAGCAACCUUAAUAUUACGUGUUUGUGUAAGAUUCACUUUGAAAUGAAAUGUUGAUUGUAUGGAUUGUAUUUCGAUGAUGUGAGGAUUUAGAUUCAUUGAUUGCCGGCACCAUGUGGAUUGAAUGCAUAAAAAAAAAAAAAAAAAAAAAAUUUACUGUUGUGUUGGGCUUGGAAAGCCGGGUUGUUACAUUUAUUCUUUUGAUUUUGAUUUUUUUUAGAUUAUUUUGUGAAUUAAACUUUAUUUUUUGAUUUUACUAUUCAAUUCAAAAUUUUAAAUUCUAAUCUCAUUUGUUUUUAUUUCACAUUUAGUCUUCAUUAUCUUAAUUACUAUUGUUUGUUUUUGGACAUUUUUAAUAUAUUUUUUUAAAAAAAAAUCUCAUCUUUAGACAUCUGAUUUAUUAAAAAUUAGACUUUAUAGUUUUUUAAUUAUUGCUUCUGGUUUAGCGACUUGGGUCACGAGUUUGAAAAAUUAACAUAGAGUUUUUGUAUUUAAUUUUUAAUUUUAUCAUUUAACAUCAUUUAUUUUGAAAAAUAGACUUCAUGAUUUUCUUUAGUUUUCUUUCAAUCAAGUUUUCUUGAUUUUAUGAACUAAGCAGCACGUUUGGUUGGUUAAACUAAUCAUAUUUUUGGAGUCAUUUUUUAAUAUGUUUUUUUUUAUUUUGUCCUUAAAAAUUGGAUUCUUUUUAAAAUUAAAAUUUCUUAUCUUUCAAUAUUUGAUUUAUUAGAAAUUAGGUGUCAUGAUUUUUUUAAAUGAGGUACUUCCAGUUUGGUGAGCUAGGUCACGGGUUUGAAAGGUCAACACAGGAUGCCAUCAUUUUUUUCACUCAUUUUUUUUUUCAAAUUAUCCUCUGAAGUUGCUUAUUUUGAAACAUGGGCUUCAUGAUCUUCUUUGAUUUUCUUUCAAUCAUGUUAUUCUAGUCUCAUGACCUGGUCAGUAAAUUUAGUCGGUUAACCCAACAAUUUCUUUAGAAUAGCUUUUUAUAUCAUUUUUCAAUUUUAUUCUUCAAAAUUGAGUUCUUUUUAAAAUUAAGAUAUGUUAACCUUUUAUAUUUUAUUUAUUAGAAAUUAGGCUUCAUGAUUAAUUUUUCAAAUGGGGUGCUUCUGUUUUAGUGACUUAAGUCACUUGUUUAAAAAUUUAACUUGGAUCGGUAUCAUCCUUUUCACUUAUUUUUUUUUUCAAUUUCAUUCUUCAACGUUGUUAUAUAUAUAUACCUCAUGAUUUUUUGUGGUUUUCUUUCAAUCAAGUUAUCUUGAUCUCAUUAUCCGAACAACAAGUUUAACUGAUUAACCCAACUAUUUUUGUAGAGUUUCUUUUAAUCUUUUUUCGACUAUGUCCUUUAAAAUUGGGUUCAAUUUAAAAUUAAGCUUCAUCAUUUUCUUGUUUUGCCUUCUAUUAGGUUAACUCAAUCGCAUGAUCCAGCUCACACGCUUUGUCUACUUUACCCAGUUUUGCAAAUGUUUUAGUUUUUUUAGGUUUCUUUUCAUUAUUUUUUCAAUAUGUUUUCUUUAAGGCUAGAGAGAUCUUAUGAUCAGGGUUACGAGUUUAACAUGCCACCUCGAGUUUACUGCACUUUAUUUUUUUAUUUUUUAUUUUUUCCUUUAAGGGUUAUCAUGGAAUUCGGCUUUGUGAUUUUUCCUCCAUGAAAAAAGGUUCCUUUUCUUCUGGUUAUCAUUGCCAUGUUUUCUUUUAAGAUUUUAUUGUUAUUGUGUUAUAUAUCAUGUAAUUGAAUAAAUAUUAAUUUUUUCUUCUUCUUUUAAACACGCUUGUAACGCUUGAGAAUUGUUUUUUAACAUUACAGAAAAACCAACCCGCCCGCAAUAAAGUGUGAGCCACCUAUCUAGUUCUAAUCUAUAAAAGAUUAAACUUCAGAAAUUUAAUUAUGAAUUUAAGCAAAAAUAUAACUUACCAAAAAAAUACAUAAUUAUAAAACCUAAUCUAAUAGGUUAAUUCAGUGACUUGUGAACCUGAGAUUUGAUCCAAAUAGGAAUUUAUAUCAAAAUAAGUUGGAAGAAUUGAUUUGGUCAACCUAAUAGAUCUAGUUAUGAUCUAAUCAAAACCCAAAUAAGAACAUGUUUGUCUUUUUUUAAAAAAUAAAACGAAGUCAUUUCUACUUUUAAUUCUUUUAGAAAUUAAGCUGUUUUGAAUUAAUCUAAUAAUGAAUUUGGCUAGGCUUGAUAACCAUGCAAAUUAAAACAAAUGAAAGUUCUUUGAGUGACGGAAAGUUAAUUCCAUUCUCGCCGUAGGUUCCUUCCACAUGCAUAUCCGGAAAAUAAAACAAGAAAUCGUUGAUUUGACUGAGGAAGUAUGAGGUCAGUUUCUUGUGCCUUGAAGUGUUUUUGAAACAGCAUCAUGCCCUUGAUUGAUACCUGUGGACACCAGAAUCCUUGGUAUAGAUAGAGAAGAUUACCUCCCAUACCUAUUUCUGUCGGGAGGUGUUGAAGCAACUCCUGGGAUUCAUCUCUCUGCUCUUCCUCUACAUUGAUUCCCACACCCUCCAUCAAACUGAGAAUCACACUGACAAGGAAGAAGAUUAUUCAAGAAAACAAUGAAAUAUGAGGAGUAGAGUUUCUUGAUUCUUGAGAUCACAGCAUGUCUUAUAUGUAUCAUUGAAGGGUAUUAUGGUCGGGAUUUGUAAACAGGCUUGAACCUUCGUGAGUGGGUGGGAAGGUGGUUCUGCGACCAUAUAUGCAUGCGCAAGGGUUGAAUUCACUUGGAGUUGAUUCAAAGUAAACUCUUUUUGAUAAGAGCACAAAAAGUCGUAGCAGGACUAGUACUGUCUCUAUCAACGCGAACAAUGCUUGCCAAGUUGCGCCCUAGACAAAAUUAAUAUCGACAACUUAUUCUAAUCUAUAUAUAAGAGAUCAAAUCUUGAACCUUUUUUUAAUCUAUAUAUGUAAGCAAAAAUAUAAUUUAUCACAAAAAUACAUUGUUAACCUCGGCCCAGCAAGUUAAUCCAAUAAUUUGCUGAUUCGGGGCUUACCCAAACUGAGUUUUAUAUCGAACUAGAUUAAGAGUUAAUCAUAUGAACCAAGUGAAUCGUCUUGGACUAACGCGCUGUAGCAUAGAUCAUGAACCAUGCAACUAUGCAAGAAUAUAUAAAAGUUAUUUACCAUAUCAAGAUCCUCAGAAGGUGCAUGGCUGCAUCUUCUCUCUUGUUUCCUAGCUGCUAUUAGUCCUAUCCGAGUUGCUAGUAGGAAGCUCUCCGUCUAGCUAUUAGUAAGUAUUAAGAAAAACGUCAAUAGCAGCGUGAAGUGCCCCCGAUCCCUCUGCUGGACCUAUCCGCUCUUUCUUGAAUCUUAAGGGGGCUCCGUAGCGCAACUUGAAGGACAGGACAGGGAAUGGGCAAUCUUGACUAGACUAAGAACCCGAACCACGCCUAUUUAGGUAUUUAUUAACAAGGCCCUUUGCUCGGUCGGAGAUAGCAUCUCCGGCCAGGGACUUGUUCCAGUUAAAUAUAAUCAGCGUAUCACCUCCUUAAUUAAAAGAAAAAAAAAUUCACUUUGCUAGCUUAUCGAUCGAGGGGCAUUUUAAUUACAAUGGCUAAAUUAUUCCUGAAAACAAAAUCUCUUUAUUCUAUCAUUGUUUUUUGUUAUAAUGGCUAUAAUCGAGGGGCAUUUUAGUAGUUUAACAAGCGUAAACACAAUUAAUGCCUUGUUUGUUUCCAGGAAUUCAUUUUCCUGGAAAUCAUUUUCCCCACUUUCCCAUGUUUGGCAAGCACAAGGAAAAUGAGUCAAAAGAAACUCAAUUCCAGUCAAUAGGAAAAAUAAAACGUGAGAGCAAGAAAGUGUUUUCCUUCCUUUAUUCUAAGAAAACACUUUCCCAUUCUCUGUAUGCUUUUUUUUUUAACAGUUCAUGUUAAUUGCACUGUUCAUUGAACAGUGCAAUUAACAUGAACAAUUAUUACGUACAUUGUUCACAAAAAAAUAGUGAACAGUGCAGUUCUCUUGCACUGUUCACUUGCCUGCGGGAACCUUUUUUUUUUUUUUUUUUUAAGUGUGCUGUUUUUUUAACAUUUAAAAAAAAAACUAGUUUAGAGUGAAUUUUAUACCUUAAUAUUUUAUCCAAUUUUAUUACAUGCUAAAAAUAUUAUUAAAACUAUAGUUUUUGUCGGAUAUAUUUCGUACGUAGUGGAAUUAUAAAUGGUUUCAUGGAAUAAUAAAAAAUAUUUCACAAGCUUAUUUCUCUAUAAUAUGAUAUAUAUAGUUAUAUUUUAUAAAAUAAGCUAUGUAUGAAUAUAGGAUAUAAUAAAUAAAAAAUUCAUCAUUAUACAUUUUAGAUUUUUUUUAUUGUAAGUGAUUAAAUAUUUUAUAUAUAUUAGAUAAAUUUGAAAAAAAUAAUAAUUCAUUAAUAAAUUAUUUUCCAGUUUAUUUUCCAUAAUACAACCAAACACUGUAAAGUGUUUUCCAGUUCAUUUUCCAUAACACUACCAAACAUUGAAAAAUACUUUCCCAGAAUUCACUUUCCAAAAGGAAUUCACUUUUCUGCAAACAAACGGAGCCUAAAACAAAGGUGGCGUGAGGGAAUGUCCUUGCCCUUUGGGCUUAUGGUGUCAUCUAACAUCGCUUUCUGCAAUGACAGUGGAAGCGCCAUGGCUGGUGGUUUAGGCGCUGGUGUUUUCAACAACUUAUUAUUUUAUUUGUUUUGUUCUCUUCUCCCUGAAUAGGUUUUUCAUUCAAAAUUUCAAAGCAUUUAUGAUAUUUCAAUUUUGAUUCUAUUUUUUUUAAUUUCUUGUUCUUAGUUUUUUUGUCAAAAUAUCUCAAUUUAUUUUUAAUUUUAUUAUUGAUUUUUUAUUUUUUUUUUCAAAUCUAGUCCUUAUUCUUUUGAUUUUGAUUUUUUUUUUAGAUUUUUUUGUGAAUUGGACUUUUUUUUUUACCCUUCAAUUCAAAAUUUUAAGUUAUGAUCCCAUUUAUUUUUUAUUUCAUAUUUGGUCUUCAUUAUUUUAAUUGCUAUUCUUUGUUUUUGUAUAUUUUUUAUAAUUUUUGUUUUAAAAUCUCAUUUUUUGAUAUCUGAUUUAUUGAGAAUUAGAUUUUAUGGUUUUUCAAUUGUUGCUGGUUUAGAAACUUGGGUCACGAGUUUGAAAAGUUAACAUGGAGUUUUUGUUUUUAAAUUUAAUUUCAUCAUUCAACGUUUUUUAUUUUGAAAAAUAGGCUUUAUGAUUUUUUUCGGUUUUCUUUCAAUUAAGUUAUUAUGAUUUGAUGAACCAAGCAGCACGUUUGGCUGGUUAAACUAAUUAUUUUUUUUAUAUUUUUUUUUUGUCCUUAAAAAUUGGAUUCUUUUUAAAAAUAAUCUUUCUCAUCCUUCAACAUUUGAUUUAUUAUAAAUUAGACUUUAUGAUUUUUUUAAAUAGGAUGCUUACAGUUUAGUGAGUUAGGUCACGAGUUUGAAAAGUCAACACGAGAUGCCAUCAUUUUUUUUAAUUUUUUUUUCAAUUUAUCCUCCGAAGUUGCUUAUUUUGAAUCAUGGGCUUCAUGAUCUUCUUUAAUUUUCUUUCAAUCACGUUAUCCUAGUCUAAAGACUUGGUCACUAAGAUUAGUUGGUUAACCUGACAAUUUCUUUAGAAUUAUUUUUUAUAUCAUUUUUUAAUUUCAUUCUUCAAAACUGGAUUCUUUUUAAAAUUAAGACAUGUAAACCUUCUAUAUUUUAUUUAUUAGAAAUUAAGCUUCGUGAUUUUUCAAAGGGGAGGCUUCUGGUUUAGUGACUUAAGUCACAUGUUUAAAAAGUUAACUUGGAUUGGCAUUAUCCAUUUCACUUAUUUCUUUUUUUAAUUUCAUCAUUCGACGUUGGAUUUUUUUGAAAAAUGGACCUCAUGAUUUUCUUCAGUUUUAUUUCAAUUAAGUUAUCCUGAUCUCAUUAUCUAUGUAAUAGGUUUGGUUGAUUAACCCAACUAUUUUUUUGAAGUUUUUUUUAAUCUUUUUUUGACUUUGUCCUUCAAAAUUGGAUUCUUUUUAAAAUUAAGCUUCAUUAUUUUUCUUGGUUUGCCUUCUAUUAGGUUAACCCAAUCACAUUAUCCAGCUCACGAGCUUUGGUUACUUUACCCAGUUUUGCAAAUGUUUUAUUUUUUUUAGGUUUCUUUUCAUUAUUUUUUUUAAUUUGUUUUCUUUGAGACUAGAGAGACCUCAUGACCAGGGUUAUGAGUUUAGUAUGCCAGCUCGGGUUGACUGCACUUUAUUUUUUCAUUUCUUAUUUUGUCCUUUAAUUGUCAUCUUGGAAUUCGACUUUGUGAUUUUUUUCCCAUGAAGAAAGGUUCCUUUUCUUCUGGUUAUCAUUACAACGUUUUUUUUUUAAGAUUUGGUUCAUUUAUUGUUAUUGUUUUAUAUAUCAUAAAAUUGAAUGAACAUUAAUUUUUUUUUUCUUCUUUUAAACAUGCUUUGCAACGAUUGAGAAUUGUUUUUUAACAUUAUAGAAAACCCAGCCACAAUAAAAUGUGAGCCACCUAUCUAGUUCUAAUCUAUAAAAUAUUGAAUUUCAGAAAUUUAUAAAUUUAAAAAAAAUUAUAGCUUACCAGAAAAAUACAUAAAUAUAAAACCUUAUCUAAUAGGUUACCUUAGAUUUGAUGCAAAUAGGGUUUUAUAUCAAAAUAAGUUAGAAGAGUUGAUUUGGUCAACAUAAUAGAUCUAGUCAUGAUCUAAUAGAAAACCAAAUAAAAACAUGAUUGUAAUUUUUUUAGGUUUCUUUUCAUUAUUUUUUCAAUUUGUUUUCUUUAAGGUUGAGGAGAUCUUAUGACCAGAGUUACGAGUUUAACAUGCAACCUCGGGUUGACUGCACUUUAUUUUGUCAUUUCUUAUUUUGUUCUUUAAGGGUUAUCUUGGAAUUCGACUUUGUGAUUUUUCUCCCAUGAAAAAAGGGUUUUAUUUGUUUUUUAUUUUUUUUUCUUCUCUUGUUAUCAUUACCAUGUUUUUUUUUUAAGAUUCAGUUCAUUUAUUGUUAUUGUUUUAUAUAUCAUAUAAUUGAAUGAACAUUAAUUUUUUUAACAUUAUAGAAAAACCAACCCGCCUAUAAUAAAAUGGGAGCCACUUAUCUAGUUUUAAUCUAUAAAAGAUCAAAUUUUAAAAUUUAUGAAUUUAAGCAAAAAUAUAGCUUACCAUAAAAAUACAUAAUUAUAAAACUUGAUCUAAUAGGUUAACUUAGUAACUUGUGAACAUGAGAUUUGAUUCAAAUAAAAUUUUAUAUAAAAAUAAGUUGGAAGAGUUGAUUUGGUCAACCUAAUAAAUCUAGCUAUGAUCUAAUCAAAACUCAGAUAAGAACAUAUUUUUCUUUUAAGGAAAAUUAAAAUGAAUUCAUUUCUAUUUUUAAUUCUUUUAGAAAUUAUGCUGAAUUGAUCUAAUCAUGAAUUUGGCCAGGCUUGAUAACCAUGCAAAAACACAUGAAAGUUCUUUGAGUGACGGAAAGUUAAUUCCAUUCUCUCCAUAUGUUCCUUCCACAUGCAUAUCCAGAAAAUAAAACAAGAAAUCGUUGAUUUGACUCUCUCCUCUCAUCUCAAUUCUUUCAUCACUUAUUCUAUUAUUCUCAAUCAUUAAAUACAGAUCAAUAUAGCAAUAACAUUAAUGCUGUAUAUCUGAACUCAAGUCAAGCACUAUUUUGGAAAGCGCUAGAAAGACAGAAGCUGAGACCAGAAUCUUGGAGCUUCUCCUGAAUCAGAUUCUCCACACGGCACACCAUUGAGGGAGAUAGAUAAUUCAGUGAAUCUCCCACCUUUCCUUUCCGGAGGAAGGCACUAGCUGGGAUCCCAAGAGGGCCUGUGCCUGUCAUGGUUGCUUCAUGGUUCUUCAUGCUUUCAACGCUGCAUAGCCUCGAUGUUUCCUCUAUCAAACCUUGCUGCUCUUCCUCCACAGAGAAAGGAAGCUCCAGAAAGUUAGCCAGCUUCUUGAUGCAAGGGACACUGUUCUUUUCAUGUCCUCGUAUUUCAGAAACAAGACCCUAUCAGGUCUCUCCAAGCUGCCUUCCAAUACCCUAAUAAAUGAUCCCAAAAUGGACCGUAGCCAUGAAGUCCCUGACAGAACUUGUCAAAGGCAUCUCCUAGUGAAAGGUGUUUCUCAUUCUCCUUUCGGAUAUUGACACUGAAUUUCCAAUAAGAAAUGAACAUGUCCAGAGGAUUCCGACACACAUACACAAUCUUAGCAGCAGAAUCUUUGACCGAACACGGGAGUGCCGAGUAAGGUGAGUGGGUUCCGAAGAUCCUAGGCUCGGGAAGCUUGUCUUGUUCCUGAAACUGGUUUCUGGAGCUGAUAUCAAAC